rnacentral:lncRNA from 1 species
GGGAAGACUUACCCCAGAACUUUAUGGGGCUACCGAUGCAUAUCCGGUAGCUAAGCGAUAGACAUUAGGGCACCGUCUGGACGGCGCAGUGAGAUCGCGGAAUGUACGUGCAGUUAGAUCGCGGAAUGUACGUGCAGUUAGAUCGCGGAAUGUACGAGUUUUCCGCUAGCGCCGGUAUUUAGGGCGGUGACUGCGCCUAUUAGUUUAUCUCACAACGAUCGGUAUUCCUUAAAAGGAAUCUCCUCAAGUCCUGCCGAACGCUAACAAUACUCUUUACAUUAUUUGUAACAGUUUAUCGUGCUAAAAAUCUUCGCCACCGGCAAUCCUUCCGGAACAAAAUCUGGCAGGCGGCUGGCAGAGGUUAAGGCCUGGCUUCUGCUCCCGUCGCGUCCCAGCGCGUCCGGGUUCAAAUCCGCCUGCCGACCUCUCGGGGUAUUUGAGAGGUGAUGAAAUGGGAGGUGGCCCCCUAUCUUUUGGACGGUGUAGGACGUGAUAAAAUCAACUUGCGAGCUGACCAGGAACUAAGUUGAUGCGCCGUUGAUCCGCUAGAUUUGGUUGGAUGCUGGUGGUGAGUUGCCAAACUCAUAGAAGUCGGAUGGGGUGAAUGGCUCAGGGUGCCCCUCUAGCAGGGGAGAGCAGGGAAUUGCCUCGGGAAGGAGGCCACUGGUGAAGCGUAACCACCCUGUAACAACAUCAACAAUCAGCGUUAGCCAUCACCGUCGCCAAUUCUUCAAUAGUCUGUGACUUACUAUUGGGGAAGACUUACCCCAGAACUUUAUGGGGCUACCGAUGCAUAUCCGGUAGCUAAGUGAUAGACAUUUGGGCACCGUCAGGACGGCGCAGUGAGGUCGCGGAAUGUACGUGCAGUUAGAUCGCGGAAUGUACGAGUUUUCCGCUAGCGCCGGUAUUUAGUGCGGUGACUGCGCUUAUUUGUUUAUCUCACAACGAUCGGUAUUCCUUAAAAGGAAUCUCCUCAAGUCGUGCCUAACGCAAUUUACAGUUUUACAUUACUUGUAACCUUUUAUCGUGCCCUAUAUCUUCGCCGCCGGCAUUCCUUUCCGAAAUAACAGUCGCCGCUAGCUGCCACCGUCGCCAAUUCUCCAAUAGGUUAUGAGCCCCGAGUAGCGCCGACAGCUAUCGUCUGAUUGUUAUUUCUAUCCCUUAUCGACAAUGGUCAAGGAUAAGCUUGAUGAGCCGCUGGACCUCCACAACUACUCCACGUGGCAAAUCCGGUUUAGUGCGAUGUGCAUAGAGCUUGGGCUUGGGCAGGCUUUGCUCGCCCACAAUGCUGAAGUGUUCCCAAGGCUCCAAUAGUUCGGAUCAGUCGUAAGUUACGUGGUGAGUAUAUGUGGAGUCCAGAAACCAUUCCGUCUGAUGCUCGUUGUUGUAUGCUACGAACACUACCUG